rnacentral:rRNA from 1 species
AAGGAAUAUUGCUCAAUGGGAGAAAUCCUGAAGCAGCAACGCCGCGUGGAGGAUGAAGGGUCUAUGACUUGUAAACUCCUGUAAAGAAGGAAAAAAUUCCCAUUAGAUGGGAGAUGAUGGUACUUCUGGAGUAAGCCCCGGCUAACUACGUGCCAGCAGCCGCGGUAAUACGUAGGGGGCAAGCGUUGUCCGGAUUUACUGGGUGUAAAGGGUGCUCAGGCGGAUUUGUAAGUCAGAGGUGAAAUAUUACAGCUUAACUGUGAAACUGCCUUUGAUACUGCAAGCCUAGAGUAUGGAAGAGAGUGAUGGAAUAUCUGGUGUAGCAGUGAAAUGCGUAGAUAUCAGAUAGAACACCAAUGGCGAAGGCAGUCACUUGGUCCAUUACUGACGCUAAAGCACGAAAGCGUGGGUAGCAAACA